rnacentral:lncRNA from 10 species
UUGUUCAUUUUGUCGGACAUAGCAAAAAAGAAUUUCAUGAUCUCUGUAUUUUGAUACAUUGACAUCAGGUGCUUUUGAUGAGAAACAACAGUGAAAUAUCGUGUUCAUAAUAGAAACGAAAGUCAGGUAUUGCAGUAGGAAGUCUUUGUCAGCUUAAUGCUGAAGCCAAGAGUAGCACAAGGUACCACAUUCUUGUGCCCACGACAGGCUUUUAUAAUCCUUCUGAGUUCUCUUUGACAUCAAGCCCCACGUUGUUCCCCAGUCUCAAUAUUCUGUUGGAGGCAGCCACGUAACAAUUAGAGUUGAAACCUGCCCCACGUUGUUCCCCAGUCUCAAUAUACUGUUGGAGGCAGCCACGUAACAAUUAGAGUUGAAACCUGCCCCACAUUGUUCCCCAGUCUCAAUAUUCUGUUGGAGGCAGCCACUUAACAAUUAGAGUUGAAACCUGUCUGCCAUCCUUUGUCUCAAUGUUUGAGGAUGUAUGCAGUGUUUUUGGCAGCGAUUAUAGGAAUGCAGUUGUUUAUUUGGCCUCAGCAGUUUAUUUAUGGCUGCAAUUAAUAUCCCUGAUCAUGGGCUUUUAAACCUAAAAUAGUUCAGAUCCUCCCUUGUUCCUCUUAAUGUCUAAAAGCUUUGAUUCUGUAAUAAGAAUAAAGUGUUGGAGUUGAAUAAAUUAGUUACACCCUUUGUAAGCUUUAAAAACAUGAAAUUUAAGGCUUACUCAUGUUGCUUGUAUUGAUACUCAUAUAGUUCAAUUUAGUAGGUUAAUUUUUGUGUUAGGUAUAUCUCUUCUGGAACUGAUAAUUUGUAAUCUUAGACUAUUUUUUUUUUAAGAUAAGUAACUUAGAGUAAGAAAUCCAGCUGGGAACAGUGGCUCAUGCCUGUAAUCCCAGCAUUUUGGGAGGCCGAGGCGGCUGGAUCACUUGAGGUCAGGAGUUUGAGACCAGCCUGGCUAACAUGGAGAAACCCUGUCUCUACUAAAAAUACAAAAAAUUAGCCAGGCAUGGUGGCAGGUGCCACACCCAGCUACUUGGGAGGCUGAGGCAGUAGAAUCGCUUGAACCCGGGAGGCGGAGGUUGCAGUGAGCCAAGAUCGCAUGACUGCACACUAGCCCGGGCAACAGAGUGAGACUGUCUCAAAAGAAAAAAAAAAAAAAUCCAUUCACAGAACUGCUAAAGAAAAACUAGAGGAAUAUUUUGCUCAUUUAGCUUUAAAACUCAUUAUUAGAGGUGUGUAUUUUACAGUUUUGUAAAUAUAGAUUAUGCUUUAUAAUACACAUAAAGCAAGUAUAUAUAACAUGCAUAUAGUAAAUAAAUUUUAAAAUAUUGACUAUUCCCCAGUUAAGCCUAUACUUCUUAAGGAAGACUACUGAUGUCAUUUUAAGCAUGUUUCAAAAUUCAAGUUUUAUUUUUGAUCAAUAAGGUUUUUUUUUUUUUUUAACAUGCUCAGCACUAUAGGAAUAAGAGGACAGUGGAGAUUUGUAGGCUAAUAAGAUCGCUUUUAAACUUUGUGGUCCAUGUAAAAUUAUUAGUUGGAGAAUGUGUAAUUAGAGAACUAUAAGAUAAAGAGAUAACCUUUAGAAUUUGAAUGUACUAAAAUUGUACACAGCUUGGAAUAUUAAAAUCUUAAGGAUAUGCAAUGUUAAAACUG